AACACGUUAUUUCUGCUGUCUGUGGUGUCUACUGAGGAUCUAAAGUGAGUAUUGGUAAUAUAUUUUAUCUUUUCUUAGUUAAUCUGUAAGUUAAACCACUUUUUAAGUUGGUUUUAAGCAGACGUUACCUCACUAGCUAGCUGCUAAGCAAGCCAUUGUGCUAGCCUCAGGACAAUGGUCUACUGUUCGAGAGAGACGUAUUAAAAACUCAUCUUAACAUAUUCAUUACUGGUUUCAUGGAAUAAAUUAUUGCAGUUUAUGUUAAUAAGUUUGCUAAUUUUUCAGGAACCUGUGGAACAUCAGAGACUUUGCAGCUAUUAGAGCUAACCUGUGUACUACUAACUUGCUACAGAGGAAGCAGCAGAAAGCUGAGCUAACAGGCUGUUUUGAAGGCAAUCCUCGGGUGUCAGCAGGAGGAGGUGACCACCUGCUUAACGGAGCACCCUGGUUCUGAGCCAGUUGCACCUUUGUGCUGCUCUUUGGGGAGGCGAUGCUCAGCAGACACAUGCCUCCAUGUGGUCAGGUGGUGUUGGUGUGAUAUGGGAGGGCACACUCAUGUCGUCAUCUCCUUGUGCCGUCUCCAGGAUCCUGAUGGAGUUCUCUGUGCCUAUAAAGCAGGGGUAUUUACUUCUGGGCCUGGAGGGCCGGUAUCCAGCACGUU